AAGACCUUGCACUUUUGGAGCGGCCGAUGUCUGAUUAGCUAGUUGGUGGGGUAAUGGCCUACCAAAGCUUCGAUCAGUAGCUGGUCUGAGAGGACGGCCAGCCACACUGGGACUGAGACACGGCCCAGACUCCUACGGGAGGCAGCAGUGGGGAAUUUUGGACAAUGGGCGCAAGCCUGAUCCAGCCAUGCCGCGUGAGUGAAGAAGGCCUUCGGGUUGUAAAGCUCUUUCAGCCGGGAAGAAAAGGCUGCGACUAAUAAUCGCAGUUCAUGACGGUACCGGAAGAAGAAGCACCGGCUAACUACGUGCCAGCAGCCGCGGUAAUACGUAGGGUGCGGGCGUUAAUCGGAAUUACUGGGCGUAAAGGGUGCGCAGGCGGUUUUGUAAGUCAGAUGUGAAAUCCCCGGGCUUAACCUGGGAACU
rnacentral:rRNA from 1 species